UUCAUAGACAUGGGGAGCUGGAUGAAGGCCGGCUGAGAGUGCGUCCCAAGCAAGACGCUGACCCUUAUACCUGAUCUGGAUAAUGCCAGCGUAGGAAGAGCUAUUGUCAAUUUG
rnacentral:ncRNA from 1 species